GAAAUGCGAUAAUUAAUGUGAAUUGCAGAAUUCAGUGAAUCAUCGAGUCUUUGAACGCACAUUGCGCCCCCUGGUAUUCCGGGGGGCAUGCCUGUCCGAGCGUCAUUGCUGCCCUCAAGCACGGCUUGUGUGUUGGGCUUCCGUCCCUGGCAACGGGGACGGGCCCAAAAGGCAGUGGCGGCACCAUGUCUGGUCCUCGAGCGUAUGGGGCUUUGUCACCCGCUCCCGUAGGUCCAGCUGGCAGCUAGCCUCGCAACCAAUCUUUUUAACCAGGUUGACCUCGGAUCAGGUAGGGAUACCCGCUGAACAUAAGC
rnacentral:misc_RNA from 1 species